AGACUUUAUCAUGCAGAGAAGAUUUCAAACACCAAUCUGGUAUUCAUUAUUAGUGACAGCCAACUGCUGUGCCGCUCCUGUGAUCCAAAGCCACUGAUGCAAGCAGAGAAGCCGGAUGAAGGGCCAAAUCCUUGUGAAAUGGUCAAACAGCCCAGAUACAGAAAAGGUCCUGAUGUCUGUUUUGAUGAAGCCAAACAGGAUCAGCCUAUAUGCACAACGAGUCGUGCCUCUGCCAUGACGUCUGCUCCUAUCUUCAUUUUUCUGCAAGUUUUCAUGUGGUGUGGAUGGUCAGUUACUUUCUCUAAUUUUUUGUUUUGUUCUUGGCUUAAAAAAAUUAGCAGGCUUUUUCUAGUAGAAAGCAUACGAAGGAAAACAUAAUGAAGCAGGUCCCAAAAGCUGCAGUCUGGAGCAAAUUACUAUUGUAAUAUUUAGGGAAAUUAAAUAUGAAAAAAAUUCCGCUUGGAGCCUUAUAAAUCAGAGUUAGGGAACACAGAGACCUCUCCCAUAGCAAAUACAAAGACACAGAAACCUUCUGGGCUUAUGCAGUUGUCUCUUUGAGACUUCACAUGUAUCAACUGAGUCAGUGUCGUUCUCUUCAAAAUACUUUUCCCCUGUCCCUGUUAAAGUAAAAUAAAAGAAAGUUUUCUGCACAGAAGCAAACAAAGGUACAAGGUAAUCAGAGGAGACCAUGCUACUUGUGAAAAUAAAGCUGUACUUGAGGAUACCAAAGGCAAGUGUUCUGCUUAUGGAAGUUUUCACUUCAUUCAAGUUAACAAAAAUGUUAAUGAUAGAAGGUAACAGUGUGCAUUCAUUUGAUUAGAUGCUGGAUUCAGUAAAUUCAUAUUUUUAACUUAUUGUGACCUAAACAUAUUUGUUACCUAAUUAGUGUAAACGAUGUUUUUCUUCUAAUGAAAUACAUGAAUACUGCAUGUUGACCUAGUGCAGACUUCCCAGUUCAGAAUCAAAGCUCUGGAAUUUUUGACUGUGUUGUGUUUGAUGACAUGAGAAUUUACACUACUGCGCGGUGACACGUAUGCAAAAAGAACUGCUGAUCUGAUGAGAACAAGAUUAAUGUUGAACUUGUAUGCUUCCAGGGUGUCUGAUCAAUAAUAUUACUUAGAAAACCACUAGAGGGAGAUACUAACAUAUGUAUCAAAGCCAACUGACAAGUAGAAGUGGAAUCUUAGAGUCAGUUUUCAGAGUUAAUGUGGUAGAAUAUAAAAAAUUGUAACAAAAUAAAACACUUGUUCUUGUAAUUAUGUAAAUUUUUUUUAUACUUGGGGAAAGAUUCAGUUAAUAUCACUUGAACAUCAGUGAAAAAAACUUUUAAGUUCUCUUUAGCAGCUGUAAUGGAGUAAUUUUGAAGUUUCAUUUUGUAUAUUUAAAUGAUUUAAUUUCUAGCCAGCUUGCACAGAGAUAGCUGAAGGUUGUAAGGAAGGGUAAAGUCCCUUCCCCCAAGGCAGUGAUAUUUCACAUUCACAUCUAGAUUAACAUCUCAUAAUCUUACUUGUGCAAUUUGCUCUGUAAGUAACCUUAUUUUAAUUAAAAAGCUACAGUCUAAUGUAUAUUAGACAGAGGCUCACCUUGAGCUGAGGUCUUUAUGCCUGUAAUGAUCUUUCUGCUCAAAAAGGCAGACCAAAAACUUGUAGUUGGAAACUCAUGAAGAAACAUCAUUUUAGCUGAUACAUUACUUCAUAAAAGUAAUUUUGUUCAUCCAUUCUGUUUUUAAAGAUCUUGUGAUUAAGGUAACAGUUUCUUGCAGAGCAUUAAUUAAAGUCAGUGAAGUCACCACAUAUAAAAUAGCUGAUCAGAUUCAGCUAUUUAUUUAUUUAUUUAUUUAUUUAUUUAUUUAUUUAUUUACCAAAAAAAAGCAUAACAAAAUAGUCUUUAUCAUUUUUUUAAUAGCUUGCUCUUACUGGUUUUGUUUGCAAUGCCUUAGAAUAAAGAGAGUAGAAAAGAGAUUGUUAGGCCCUUCUGAGAAUGUCUUAAUUCCAUUAGCUCCCAGGUGUCAGUGGGCACGUUGAGGCUGAUUAGCACCCCAGAAAACUGUAUGUCUUGAUGAGAUUUGCUGUAUCCCUGAUCUGUAUACAGGCAACUAUAUAGAUUGGGCAGUAUCAUGUGGUAGUCCAGACAAAGGAAGGUAGCAAAGUUUAUGAAAGACCAUGCACUGAAACUUGAAACAACUCUUGAGUACAAGCUGAGGUGUUUUCCAUGCAAGAGAAGGGCUUAUAAUAAAUGCUAGCUUACAAAAGAUAUAACAUUCAGUAAUCAUUUGGAAUCAAAGAUCAGAUUAGAAGAUCUUUGGCUGAUAUCUUAGUUUUUCCUAUUUAUAGUCAAUAUAACGUAAUGAGUUCUGAUUAACUUUUCAAAACAGAGUUUUAGUACUUGGAAUAGGUAUUGUGUACCUCUAAAGAAUUAACAAGAAUGCAUAUAGUCUUAGGAGUGUAUAUAUAUGUUUUUCCAUUUGUGUAUUUAAAAUUUUGGAUUGGCACUGCCUUUCAGGAAAUGUUGAUAUAUAUAGCAAUGAAUAUGUGGUUUUGAUACUCAGCAAUGAAUGUAAGGUUUUAUAAAAGCAGUCAUUUCCAUUUUGCAUGUGCUGAAUAGUUUUCAUGGUGUGUGAUGUAAAAUAACCCUCUCGGGAGUUAUGAUAGUAAGGCAUGACAUGAAAGAGAUGACAUUUGUAUUUGACACUUCACCUCAAGCAUAGAGGAUUAGGAGAAGGAAAUGUGAUUUAUGAAUGCAAGAAAUUCCUGAUGCACUUUUGGUGAAGAGAAACUGGCUGAAGAGAAUUCUUUCCAAUGAAAGAAAUAUUCUGAUCUGUGGCUUAUUUAGGGUUCUUAGGUGUACGUAAUAGUGACUAAUGUAAUAGGUCAGAAAUUUUUGUUUUGUUUUGUUUUUUGUUUUUUUUUUUCCCCCUUAUAAUUUUCACCAAGUUAAAGUAUACGGUGUGCAGUCCAGGAGGGAAAAAAACUUCUUUUAGAUAGACUGUAUUUUCCCUGCCAUUAUUGAUUUUUAUCUUGGACACACAAAGAAUAACAGAUGCCAGAGAAAAUAUUUAAAAAUUAUCUUCAUCAUAACUGCUUAUAUUACCAUACUGUAAAUUGGUCUACAAAGUUCGGAACUCCAAGAUGCAAUGCAGAUGUAAAAGAUGAUGGAGCCAAACUAAAUAAACUAGAAAGUUCAUUGCAUCUUCAAAUCUUAGUGUCCUGCUCCAAAUUUGGUGAACUUCUAGAGGGAGUUCCCUUGUUUGUUGACCAGAAAGCUGAGGAGUUUUGGACUUGAAGAGUGCACUCAAAUAGAAAAAGCUUAAGCCACUAUUAUAGAUCUAAAUUAGAAAGCUAACAGAUGGCAGAGACUGGUCUGGAAAUUACUACUAUUGAUUGAAUAUAAUAUUGAUAUAAUGUAAGCUCUUUACAGAAUGAUUUUUUUUUUUUCCCUGAAGAAUGUUAAUGCUGAUUUUUGUUUCAUUCCAUUUUUACAUCCAAGUUUUUUUCAGCUCUGUCAGUGAAUGUUACCAUUCCUGACAAUUUACUAAAUUUAAUUUGUCUACUUGAUCUGAGUUCCAGUAUAUUUAUUCCAAACUGAUCUGAUUCCUCUAAUGCCUUUGGUUUAGAGAAUGCAUUGUAUGUGGUGGGAAUCAUGUGGAAGUGUUCAACCCUUAAAAGAUGACAAAAGAACUCAUUAAAAUCCUUUGUUAUAUCUCCUGUAAUCCCCAACUUUCCUGUUUACACCUCAGUUAUCAAGCAGUUUUGCUAACCCAGGUUUACAUUGUGCUUUUAAUUUAUCCAAAACUUUGUACCUUUGUAUUUAGCACCACAUGUAACAGGAAGAUCAGAAAAAAAUCUUUAUGAGUUCUCCCAGUUUCCUGUUUCUAUCUAAUUUGUGCUUUCUUGUUUUUGCCCAUUUGAGUAAAUUUCAUCCCUUAAGGGUUGAUCUUUUCUCUAUGACAGCCUGUUUAAUCUCUCUACUGAUUUAUACAAGAUUUUUUUGAUUUUUUGUUGUUUCUUUUUUUGUCAUUUUUGGGUUUGUUUUGCUUUUGUUCUUUUUCUUGAUGUUUUAGUUGUUUGUUUUAGUUGUAACAUUUAGUUGUAACAUGUUAACCUAGAUAUCCAAUGCAGAAUUUCUAAAUAGCCUUUUGUAUCCAUGUUAAAAGUCUUGCUUUCUGGGCUGCUGCUUCUAUGCUAUUUCCUUCCUUCCUUCCUUCCUUCCUUUCUUCCUUCCUUCCUUCCUUCCUUCCUUCCU